CAGGAUUCCCUUUUGUUUCAUUUCACUCUUGUUUUAGGAGUAGAUUUGUUGUGGUCCUGCAAAAGAAUCCUUGGCAUAGACUUAAAAUAAUCUUAUGUGUGCCUAGAGAUGGUUUUAUCCCAAAAUAUGAAGUUAAAAAGAAAUUGGAUCAAUAUACCUGCAACUUCUCUGCCAGUAACUGAAUGGCAAGAACAAGGUUUAAAUUUGAAAGAUUUGCUAAUAAGGUAUUGAUUAAAAACCCUAUCCAUGUUGGAAAACAUCCAUGUUUUCCAUGCUGUAAAAACUCAGUUAAACUUUCUGAUGCUCAAGAAACUAAUCUAACAUGAAUUAUCUGGCUUAACAAACCAUAUGAUAUUAAAAAGGGCUCCACUAUCUGCAGCAACAGUUGAAGAUGGCAGUGCUGGUCAUCAUGGCUCACCUAUGGACUGGUCUACAUUAGCAAGAGCUUGAGCUCCGGCUUUGAGGACUGACAAUGCAAUAACUCUCCAACAGCACCCCUAUUCAAGCACCACAAGCCUGAAGUGGGAUACCAGGACCUACUAAAAUGAAGGUGCAAUUUGGAGAGGUGGAACAGCUUGAUGGUAAAAAACCCAAAUAAUUUCCUUGUGGUUUUGUACACGUAUGAGUGAUGUAGUUUGGCCUCCACACUGUACCCGAGGGCCAGUGGCCAGGCUAUAAUGAACAUGGCUACACUGUGAAACAGAACAAGUAGAAAGAUGUUGAUGCAAAUUUCCCAAACCUAAAGACAGGGAAUUGUGUGGGAAUAUCUCUAUUAAUUUCAAUUGAACUUGGUUCUGUCCAAAAUUUGGUCCAAUGCUGGGAAAAAAAAAAAA